rnacentral:tRNA from 1 species
UCACCGGGAAGUACUGAUGUAUGUGUGCCUUCCAAGUACGAGGCCUGAGUAGUUACUCAGCCUGGUGAA